UACGUAGGUGGCAAGCGUUGUCCGGAAUUAUUGGGCGUAAAGCGCGCGCAGGCGGUCCUUUAAGUCUGAUGUGAAAGCCCACGGCUCAACCGUGGAAGGUCAUUGGAAACUGGAGGACUUGAGUACAGAAGAGGAAAGCGGAAUUCCACGUGUAGCGGUGAAAUGCGUAGAGAUAUGGAGGAACACCAGUGGCGAAGGCGACUUUCUGGUCUGUAACUGACACUGAGGCGCGAAAGCGUGGGGAGCAAACAGG
rnacentral:rRNA from 1 species